GACGAACGCUGGCGGCGUGCUUAACACAUGCAAGUCAAGGGGGGCCCGCAAGGGUCAACCGGCGAACGGGUGCGUAACACGUGAGCGACCUACCUUCUUGCGGGGGAUAGCCGGCCUAAC
rnacentral:rRNA from 1 species